rnacentral:lncRNA from 1 species
UGGAAAUUGUGUACUUACCUCAGAAAAAUAUCUAUGUUCUCACCAAAGCCUACUGUCAAAUAGGAUGAAUUCAUUUCAGGGAUCAGAGCCUCACGGUGCAGUGCUGGUAGCUUUUGGAAGUCUCCAAGGCCAGUUGCAAAGCCACUCUGUGGGUUCUGGAGAAGAAUGAGCUUGGCUCUUGAAGUGUACUUAUAU